rnacentral:rRNA from 1 species
UUUAACUGAGCGUUCAGUUACUUGACGUAGACCCGAAACCGGGCGACCUACCCAUGAGCAGGAUGAAGCGAAAGUAAAAUUUCGUGGAGGUCCGAACCCACGAGCGUUGAAAAGCUCGGGGAUGACUUGUGGGUAGCGGUGAAAUUCCAAUCGAGCCCGGAGAUAGCUGGUUCUCCCCGAAAUAGCUUUAGGGCUAGCCUCAAGGUGAGAGAUACGGAGGUAGAGCACUGAAUGUCCUAGGGGGUAUUGCACCUACCGAAGACUAUCAAACUCCGAAUGCCGUCAUCUUAUACUUGGGAGUCAGACUGUGGGUGAUAAGAUUCAUAGUCGAAAGGGCAACAGCCCAGAUCGUCAGCUAAGGUCCCUAAAUGUAAGUUAAGUGGUAAAGGAUGUGGGAUUGCACAGACAACCAGGAUGUUGGCUUAGAAGCAGCCACUCAUUCAAAGAGUGCGUAAUAGCUCACUGGUCGAG